rnacentral:rRNA from 1 species
AGUGAACGCUGGCGGUAGGCCUAACACAUGCAAGUCGAACGGCAGCACAGUAAGAGCUUGCUCUUACGGGUGGCGAGUGGCGGACGGGUGAGGAAUACAUCGGAAUCUACUUUUUCGUGGGGGAUAACGUAGGGAAACUUACGCUAAUACCGCAUACGACCUACGGGUGAAAGCAGGGGAUCUUCGGACCUUGCGCGAUUGAAUGAGCCGAUGUCGGAUUAGCUAGUUGGCGGGGUAAAGGCCCACCAAGGCGACGAUCCGUAGCUGGUCCGAGAGGAUGAUCAGCCACACUGGAACUGAGAAACGGUCCAGACUCCUACGGGAGGCAGCAGUGGGGAAUAUUGGACAAUGGGCGCAAGCCUGAUCCAGCCAUACCGCGUGGGUGAAGAAGGCCUUCGGGUUGUAAAGCCCUUUUGUUGGGAAAGAAAAGCAGCAGGUUAAUACCCCGCUGUUCUGACGGUACCCAAAGAAUAAGCACCGGCUAACUUCGUG